rnacentral:rRNA from 1 species
AAUUUUUGACAAAGGGGGAAACCCUGAUCCAGCCAUCCCGCGUGUAUGAUGAAGGCCUUCGGGUUGUAAAGUACUCUUUGCAGAGAGGAAAAGGCAUCCCCUAAUACGGGAUGCUGCUGACGGUAUCUGCAGAGUAAGCACCGGCUAACUACCUGCCAGCAGCCGCGGUAAUACGUAGGGUGCAAGCGUUAAUCGGAAUUAUUGGGCGUAAAGCGUGUGUAGGCGGUUCGGAAAGAAAGAUGUGAAAUCCCAGGGCUCAACCUUGGAACUGCAUUUUUAACUGACGAGCUAGAGUAUGUCAGAGGGGGGUAGAAUUCCACGUGUAGCAGUGAGAUGCGUAGAUAUGUGGAAGAAUGCCGAUGGCGAAGGCAGCCCCCUGGGAUAAUACUGACGCUCAGACACGAAAGCGUGGGGAGCAAACAGG